UUUAAAGUCUUAUAUAUUUCUUUUCUUUUCAUAUUUUUAAAGAUAUAUUGACAAAAUCUACUUUAAUCAUAAACAACACUACUGAUAUGGAAGAAUUAGUCUAAGUACCCAACAAGUUUGUCAAUGCUUCUUGUGUUUGUUAUAAAGAAGUUUUAUUGUAAAACUUUCCAUCAAGAAGAUUUUUUCUAUCUGCUAGUUUGUUUUUGGCAUAAAUUUUCAUUUCCAAUCGUUUUACACAUUGAUUUCAGUUUUAAAACUGGUCUUUAUGAAUGUAUGUAAACAAAAUCAUUGCACAACCCUUGUUUACAUUACAAAGCCUUAAAUUGUGUCACAGUGAACUAUCUUGCAUAAAACUUAACAACUGACAAUUAUUUCGAUUAAUCAUUUUAAAUGCCUUAUUUGUGCAUUCAAAACAGCAAAAUAAAUUAUGACAAAAAUCGUGACAUUGUCCCUUAAAUACUUUUUUCAUAGUGAUUAAUUGUUUAAUUAACUUUUUGUCUUAAAAAUUGACAUUGUUUCAAUGAUUAAAUUUCUUUAGCUGUUCCAAAUCAGCUAUAUAACCACUUCUUGGGGUCUAACAUAGAAACAUUUCGGGAAAAUUGUAAAUGGUAAUAGAUUGAAAAUACAGGUAAACAUUGGUAUCUUGAAUUUAAUUGAGGUGACUUCAACAAAAUUUCGAGAUACAAGUAUUCAGGGGUUCAAGAUAUCUAAAGUGGCUUUCUGAUUAAUUCCAUUCUUAUAUAAAUUAUUAAAUCAAUGUUUCGUUUUAAAUAUGACUUAAAUUUUUUGAUUAUUAAAUCAAUGUUUCCUUUUAAAUAUGACUUAAAAUUUUUGUCACUCGACAGUUUACAACUUGCAAUGGGAUGAAGCACUUACCAUGUAAUUACUGAAAUGUAUCACAUAUGAAAUGAAAAAUACGGCUUGAAAUUUAACAAAUAACACAUAUAAUUUUUAUUAUCUAGCUAAUACACACAGUAUAUUUUUGUAUUUAUUGUGUUUGUGAAGCUAAUGUAUUUUAUAUUAAUUUAUUGUGCUCAUCAGUCCUCAUAUCUAGUAAUUAUAUUGAAAAGUGGAAACAUUUCACAUGUAUGAUAAAUCAUAGUCACUUCACAAGCUGUGUAUUCAAUAUGUCCGUAUACAGUACGUGUGUUUUAUUAAACACAUUUGCGAUAAUCAUGGCUGUGUUUAAUCUAAAUUAUAUAGAUAUGUAUUAAGGUGGUAUGGGAUGGGACAUCUGUCGAUAUUACUGUGGAUUCAAGUACAUUUAUUAAUUAUAAUUAGAAUACUUUCACCGGUUUAGAAUUUUCAAAUUUUACAAUAUUGAACCCCAAAAAAGCUUUUGAAAAAAGAUGUGCCCCACACCACCUUACAUGCCCAAAACACACAAGCUGCCAUCUUAAAAAACUAUGUCUCGCAUGAUUGAGGUAACAAUAAUUUUGAAAGGUGUAAAUAUUGCCGUGUGAACGUGUGAAGUAAUGAUACCAUGCAAUUAUGUUCAGCUGUUAAAAAAAAAUGACUCCACUUUUAGAUAAAUCAGGUAAAAUUAGCGUUUUAGCCCUUCAAUAUACUUUUACAUAAGAAGGGUAAUCGAAAAUAUGUACCAUAUUCGAGAUAUCAGGAGUUUUUAAAAUCAUUACAUUUUUAUAGAGAUUAAACGGUCGGGACCAGCGGUAGACUUCAACAUAAGCAGGGUAUUCGAGAUAUCUCUUGUUCGAGCUACCAAUAUUUACCUGUGAUAAGAUUCAUUGGUUUGGGAUCUUUAGAAACCUAAUGGCUAUAUAUGUACAUGUAUAUAUUGGGUGCAGUAGGAAAGUUGUAUGGACCUCUUUGGACCCCAAAAUGAACAAAUAAGCUAACUAUGUCAUAUACAUAUACUUUUUCUUUGUUUUUUGUAGAAUCAUGUGAUGAUGACCCUUUUGAUUUAAGCAGAAUCAUGUGAUUAUGACCCAUUUGAUUUAGCACCUGGAAGUAGAAGUCAAGCCUGGAUAAACUUUUUAAUGAAUCACAUGAUGAUGAUGAUGAUCAGAGCUAUACUGACAUCUGGACAAAGAGCAAAAGUGGAUCGAGGCCUAGAUUCACAGUUUAAAAAUUGAAAGUUUUUGUGAACAGAAUUUAGGUUAGCAGCAUAGAAAAAUUACUGCAUGCAAACCUUUCAACUCUGGAAAAGAAACCUUGGACACGCAAGACCUUGUUGAGGCCAGGGGCAAGAAAUAGCAAGCAGUCUACCUGACCUACAACUGUGAAAUUCACUACAUUGCAUUUUCAAUACAGACACAUUUUGCCGGAAAACGAAUCUGACUUCACAUUACGAAAUUUUAUCAAGAAAGAGGCAAUUUGAUGAGCUUUCAUUCAAGAGGUCCCUCGUUGCUGAACGAAAAUUAAGGCUUUGGAGCUAUGAACCUGAUGUUAACAUUACCGCCUAUGGAAAUGCAUAAGUGGACUAUACCAAUAUUGAACUCCAUGCUGGUAAGAUACCUUGUAUAUUGAAUUGGAACUUCAUCAAAGAUUAAAACACAACAAUGAGACCCACUAGAUAGUUUUUCAGUACAGACUUCACACCAUAAAAUUUUAACAGGAAAGAGGCAAUUUGAUGAGCUUUCAUUCAAGAGGUCCCUCGUUGCUGAACGAAAAAUAGGGCCGGAGCUAUGAACCGGAAUGUUUACAAUACCGCCUAUGGAAAAUGCAACAGUGGACUAUACUCAGGCAUUUCAUGUGGAUAGGAAGGUAGAGAGCAUUGCAGGAAAAAUACACAGCUAGUGUUAGAAAGCGUUUAAUGGGUUUUACCAUCAGAAAAACCUGGUAAUUGAAGUGGUGAAAUGACGGGCGGUUGCCAAAAGGGUACCCCCUUAAUUUGUCUGGACAACUCAUACAGUUUUCAAGAUAUUAAGGUUUUUUGUUUUGCAGAUCAAUUGUAUAUAUAAUCGAGAUAUGCAUUUUUGCUAGGAUUUUAACUUUAUAAAUUUUUGCAAAAAAUACCCACUUUUGAACUAGUCAUUUGCUUAUAGGGUACAUCUUUUGUGCAAGUAACUCCUCCCAACAGUUUUGAAGAUAGGGAUAUCUUAAUUUUGCAGAUUAAUUGUACAAUCUAAACCCCCAUAAACUUGAAAUGAUGACCAAAUAUCUCCUUAAAAACAAAUGGGAUCUUCACCCCUAAACAAUAAAUAUUCUUGUUCAUUGUGUAGGUCAUGACCUUAGAGGGUGGUUAUGAAGAUAAACAUUUACAAUUUUCUUCAAUACAGAAUGUUGAUACAGGAAAAACAUUCGAUAUUUUUAUAUUAUAUAUUAUAUAUAGCAACAAGAGUAAAAUGGUCAAACAAGAGGAAAAGGAAGUAAGGGAAUAUUUUUCAGACUGUUGCACAUCAAAUACACUCCCAUGAAUGAAAAUGUGCCCAAGACUUAUAGAAUGUAACUAAAAGUGCAGAAGAAUAUUGUGGAAAAGGAUAUAUGGGAGACCAUAAAGAAAAAAUAUGGAAUGACCUUAAAAGAGUUAAAAAGUAAUAAAUUAGCUAAGAUUUGCACUUUUGAUUGAGUUAUGUCUUAGUGUACAUAUAACUUUGAUGAAAUUGUUAAUAAUAUAUGUGUGUGCUCAUAGAAAAGAACAUCACACAUAUGCAUUGUAAUACCAGUAAAUAUUGUAUUGAAAUUGUUGAUCAUGUUAAGAUUUUCAAAGUUUAUGAUGAGUUACAGUAUGUGAAUUGUAAUUCCACACAUACAAAAAUCUUUGUCACUGUUUUAAAAAAAAACCCGAAAUGUACCAGUAUGUGGAUAUGAACAUUUUUUGAAUAUUUUUGGAUGUGUAUUUUUAUGAGUCAGCCAAUAACUGUUGAAUAUUUAAACUUUCUCUGCAUUUUUGUAUGCGAGCUGAAUAUUAUGCCAGUUUUAAGGUUUAUGGAAUGGUCUGUUUGAUCUUCUUAACCAUACAUGUAAGAUGUCUGACAAUCUUUCUGCAAGAUUUGAUAAAUUUGUGUACAUGCAUAUGCAUUUGUGAAUAUUUCAUAUUUGAUGAUAAUUGUUGAAAUUGUUGAUAAUGUUGAGAUUUUCAAAGUUUAUGACAGUUAUGUAAAUUGAUUAAUUUUGAGUUUAUGAUCAUAAAUUGUUGUUUAAAGUUCCUUUAAGUUGUUGUUUUUCACUUUCCUUAAUAAAAUAUUAAUGAUG